CUUGUACACUUUGAGUAUUUGCUUUCAAGAGUUGACUAAUUGCUUCCAUUUCCAUGCUUACAUCUAUUAAUACAUUUAGCACGACAUUGGUUUCAAAUAAGCUAUUGAGAUAUCCUAAAGUUUCUAUACAAGUAGCAGUUGAUUCUUAUCUUGGUGAAAUAUUCCGCAUUACGGCACCCGAUCCCCUCUUUGUGAUAAAAUAAUGCAAGAUAUUUUUCCCUUUAUUAUAUCAUCAUUAUCAUAUCUCACGAGCACAUCCAUCAAUUUGUAUUUUAUGGCAGUUAGGAUACUAGAUACCAUGGCUAAUGAAUACUGCCUUAUCAUGUUGUACCUAGAUUGUGAACGUACGAUAAUUGACAUUUUCCAAAACCUUCUUGUAGCUCUAAAAGGAAAUCCUGUAGGGAAUGUCUUCACAUCCAUAGAGACUAUCAUGAUAUUUACAUUGGAAGAAAGGGACAAUAUCCCUCUGGACUUGAUUACACUUCUGUUGGAUAGUGUUCAAAAUAAACACAAAGAGGUUUCUCCGAUUGCAUUUAGUGUGGUGGAAAGAUUUAUUGAGAAGUGUGCAGAUCAAACCUUACUUUUCACAAGCUAUAAAAUCUCUAGCGAUUUGUUUAGUUGAUUAUAGUACAGUUCUUUUCUCCGUAUUCACAGAAGUUGAGACUUGUGAAUAGUGUAUUGUGUCCCCAUAUUUUGACCACGUCUAUAGUUGAUACACUUAACAAUGACAUAAUUGAGAAAGUACCUAAAGUAAUGUCAUCGAAGUCAAAUAUUUUAGAUGUCCUAGAUCUGGUACCUACUAUGUUCCACGACUUUCAUAUUGACUUUGUUUUAAUUCUUUUUCAAUUACAUGAGAUUCCAAGGGUUGCCACAUUGUUCUCUAGGGUCCUCACUUGAUUGCACACUAUUCCUAUUGACAUUAGGAUGUUUCCCUCUAAAUAUCGACACACUGUGCUAGCUCUUCAUUAUUUUGACAAUAUUCCUAAAUUUCAUGUCAAGUGAAAAGGUUAAAUCAUAUUCAAUCAUGAAAUUUUCGAAUUUACUUUCGAUGUGCUAUAUAAAUCAGAGUAUUCGUACAAAGAUUUUCUAUUUGAUUGGCCAUCACACUUAAAUGAAGGUUAUAUUUUUAAUAUAGAAAACUUGUUUCCUAAUCAAGGCAUAUUAGAGCAUUCGAUAUUGCAAUCUUUUAUCUCUACAGGCCAAUAUCAAAUGCUAGCUUCUUGUUCUCCUCACUAUGUACAACCACGUGAAGAUUUUGGAAAUAAGUUGCAUGAGUAUUUGUUACUUGGAGUCCAAUUUCGUAACUUGAUCGUCCUCCUUGGUCGGCUCAUAUCCUUGAGGAUAAGUUGCUUCUUUCCAUUUUAUCAGCUUUUGAGUUUUGAUAUUUAGUUCUUCAGAAAGAUCGUCCAUCGUUGUAUGAGUUCAAACACUAACUUGGAGAUAGACGAUAGCUCUUUUGUGAUUUAGCCACUCGAGGGGUCGAGUUAUUCUUCCACCCCUGAAGAAUUGAUGAGGGCAUCACCUGUUGGACCAUCUUAUCUUUCUUUGGACUAAUUAACUUUUGCUUUAUUAGUUGGGUUUGUAUUACGGGCCAGCCCAAGCCCCAUAACUAUUAGGCU
rnacentral:lncRNA from 1 species